rnacentral:rRNA from 1 species
GUUAUUUAAUACGUUUCUAAGAGUGCGAGUUGUUUGGGAAUGCAGCUCUAAAUGGGUGGUAAAUUUCACCUAAUGCUAAAUAUAAGCGAGAGACCGAUAGCGAACAAGUACAGUGAUGGAAAGAUGAAAAGAACUUUGAAAAGAGAGUUAAAUAGUACGUGAAAUUGUUGAAAGGGAAACGAUUGAAGUCAGUCAUGCCGGUGGGAAUCAACUUAGGGGAAACUCUAAGUGCACUUCUUCGCUUGGCAGGUCAACGUCGAUUUUGGAUGUCAUAAAAUGAUUGGGGGAAGGUAGCUCCUUAGGGAGUGUUAUAGCCCUUGGUAGAUGUGAUGUCUGGGAUCGAGGAUUGCAAUGGAUACCCUUUGGGGCUAGCCGCCUGAUCUCUAAUUGGUAUUGGGUUACGGAUAGCAUGCUGACCGUGAUGCUAAUAUAUUGGUUAAAAGGUUAGAGCGUGCAUAAAUUCGUUAAGGAUGUUG